GCCCGGCUGGCCUAAUGGUAAGGCAUCAGACUUCUACGAUACCUAGUACGGAAAUCUGAGGAUUGUGGGUUCGACCCCCACGUUGGGUG